CUAGACCUGAAGAACCAGAAUUUCACAUGUGGACUCUGAGGAUGUGUGAUUUGAGAAAGCUUUUCAAGUGAUACACAGCUGAGCUUGUAUCAGAUCGGCUACCAUCCUGAAGGACAAAGUAACUAUCUGGACCAGGAAGUUCAAGACCAACAGACUACUUCAGUGGAAAGAAAUGGUCACUGUUGUUCUUUACCUUGGGAAGAGAGCAAUAACCAAGACAGAAAUUUGGGAAAAACUAGUCAAAAUCUAUGUCAUUUUUGUGUUUGGAUUUAGAACCCAUUUUGGUGGUGGCAAGACAGCUGACUUUGGCAUGAUUUAUGAUUCCGUGGAUUAUAGAAAUAAAAAUAAACCCAAACAUAGACUUGCAAGACAUGGCCUGAAUGAGAAGGCCUCAAGACAGCAGAGAAAGGAACACAAGAACAGAAUGAAGACAAUCAGGAGACUGCAAAGACCAGUGUUGGCGUCGGCAAAAAAAGGUGAGGAAAAGUCAUGAUGGCAAGUUGCCUGUGGAAGCUCUACUUCUUUGGCCUGGAAUGUUGACCAUUCUCUCCGCUUUUCCAGAAGAGUACAC